GGGGUACCAAUGUCCCUCCCCCCUUGAGAGGCCAGGGCUCCCUUUUAUAUGCGGGGGUCGGUUUACCUGUGAUGUAACAGGGAGAGGCCGUAGUAUGGCUCGGCAUGUUGUUCAGGUCGGUGCUCGGUCAGGCGAAUCAUUGCACUGAUGUUGGCGGUAUGGCCGAGAUCAGAGACUUAUCAUAGUCGACUAGACCCUGCUGGGUCGAUUUGCCGUGGAGAGCUGGGGAUCCGUAGAUGUCAGGAGCCAUGCGCAUUAAUGGUGGAGUAAGCCGGAGAUCCGCAUUAAUGGUGGAGUAAGCCGGAGAUCCGCAUUAAUGGUGGAGUAAGCCGGAGAUCCGCAUUUAUUGUUGAGUGUGCCGGAAGAUUGCAGCGGCCAUGCGCAAUAAAAGUCGGAGAGAUGUUAGAGUACGGUCCUCGGACAUCGGGGUUUCUCUUAGGUCGGAGGUCUCGGGGUCGGUCGUCUCGUGGCCGAGCGUUCCGAGGUCGGACGCCGACUUCUGCUGUCCGGGGUCGGAGGUUGUACGGCUUCUCUGGGGCAUUUAUGUCAUUUGGGGGGAAAUUUUAUUCCCCCCAACAGUAGUAUAUGCUGUCCAAGCUUAAGGCCAUUGCUCCCCUUUCGUUGUUCCCAUACUGAUGAUGGGACCCCAUGUUUGGACCACCACCUAAGAAAUCUUCCAGUUUUGGGGAUGGAGAUGGCAC
rnacentral:lncRNA from 1 species